GUAGGGAAUAUUGGACAAUGGGGGGAACCCUGAUCCAGCCAUGCCGCGUGGAGGAAGACUGCCCUCUGGGUUGUAAACUCCUUUUAUAUGGGAAGAACCGUCCUCAUUAAUGAGUGACCUGACGGUACCAUAGGAAUAAGCACCGGCUAACUCCGUGCCAGCAGCCGCGGUAAUACGGAGGGUGCAAGCGUUAUCCGGAUUCACUGGGUUUAAAGGGUGCGUAGGCGGAUAAAUAAGUCAGUGGUGAAAUCAACGGGCUCAACCUGUUAACUGCCAUUGAUACUGUGUAUCUUGAAUAUGAGAGAGGUAGGCGGAAUGUUGCAUGUAGCGGUGAAAUGCUUAGAUAUGCUACGGAACACCGAUUGCGAAGGCAGCUUACUAUUUCGUAAUUGACGCUGAGGCACGAAAGCGUGGGUAGCAAACAGGAUUAGACACCCCAGUAGUCC
rnacentral:rRNA from 1 species